rnacentral:tRNA from 1 species
CGGAGCGUAGCGCAGCCUGGUAGCGCACCUGCUUCGGGAGCAGGGGGUCGGGAGUUCGAAUCUCCCCGCUCCGACCA